UACGUAGGGUGCGAGCGUUGCCCGGAAUUAUUGGGCGUAAAGGGCGCGUAGGCGGCCUGGCGCGUCGGCUGUGAAAUCUCCCGGCUCAACUGGGAGGGGGCGGCCGAUACGGCUGGGCUUGAGCGAGGUAGGGGAGAGUGGAAUUCCCGGUGUAGUGGUGGAAUGCGCAGAUAUCAGGAAGAACACCCGUGGCGAAAGCGGCUCUCUGGGACGGUACUGACGCUGAGACGCGAAAGCGUGGGGAGCGAACGGG
rnacentral:rRNA from 1 species